CCAAGAGCUCCCAGGAUCACAGAAAUGCUGCAGCUUUACCCUACCUCCAACAGUAAACUAUCACAGGAAUGCUGAACAGAUAUGAGGUCAAGGGUUCAAGAAGGAGUGAAGUCUAUUCAAAGCUUAUCAUAAAAAGACACUGAAAAUACAGCAGCUCCAGAUAGAAAGAAGAACACACCCCAUGCUCACCCUGCCCACGGACUUUUAUCAGACAAGCUGCAGGAGGAAGCUUGUCUGAUGAUGGCUGAGCAAGGAACAACUUUCUCCUUUGGCAGUACAAAGAAACUUCCUGUACCAAAAUCCUGGA